GACGAACGCUGGCGGCGUGCUUAACACAUGCAAGUCGAACGGAAAGGCCCUGCUUUUGUGGGGUGCUCGAGUGGCGAACGGGUGAGUAACACGUGAGUAACCUGCCCUUGACUUUCGGAUAACUUCAGGAAACUGGGGCUAAUACCGGAUAGGAGCUCCUGCUGCAUGGUGGGGGUUGGAAAGUUUCGGCGGUUGGGGCUGGACUCGCGGCUUAUCCGCUUGUUGGUGGGGUAGUGGCUUACCAAGGCUUUGACGGGUAGCCGGCCUGAGAGGGUGACCGGCCACAUUGGGACUGAGAUACGGCCCAGACUCCUACGGGAGGCAGCAGUGGGGAAUAUUGCACAAUGGGCGGAAGCCUGAUGCAGCAACGCCGCGUGCGGGAUGACGGCCUUCGGGUUGUAAACCGCUUUCGCCUGUGACGAAGCGUGAGUGACGGUAAUGGGUAAAGAAGCACCGGCUAACUACGUG
rnacentral:rRNA from 1 species